CCUACGGGAGGCAGCAGUGGGGGAUAUUGCACAAUGGGGGAAACCCUGAUGCAGCGACGCCGCGUGUGGGAAGACGGUCCUCUGGAUUGUAAACCACUGUUCUCAGGGACGAAGAUGUCGGUACCUGGGGAGGAUGCUCCGGCAAUCUACGUGCCAGCAGCCUCGGUAAUUCGGAGGGAGCGAGCGUUGUCCGGAAUUACUGGGUGUAAAGGGAGCGUAGGCGGGGAUGCAAGUUGGGUGUCAAAACUAGCGGCUCAACUGGUAGGUGCACUCAAAACUGCAGUUCUUGAGUGAAGUAGAGGCAGGCGGAAUACCUAGUGUAGCGGUGAAAUGCGUAGAUAUUAGGAGGAACACCAGUGGCGAAGGCGGCCUGCUGGGCUGUGACUGACGCUGAGGCUCGAGAGUGUGGGGAGCAAACAGGAUUAGAUACCCUUGUAGUC
rnacentral:rRNA from 1 species